UACGUAGGGUGCGAGCGUUAAUCGGAAUUACUGGGCGUAAAGCGUGCGCAGGCGGUUUUGUAAGCCAGAUGUGAAAUCCCCGGGCUAACCUGGGAAUGGCAUUUGGGACUGCAAGGCUUGAGUGCGGCAGAGGAGACUGGAAUUCCUGGUGUAGCAGUGAAAUGCGUAGAUAUCAGGAGGAAUACCGAUGGCGAAGGCAGGUCU
rnacentral:rRNA from 1 species